UCCAGCUGAUGCGGUGCUGGAAGAGCAUCAGGACUCGGAGCUGUUGCUUGAAGAAGGGAGAGAAGAGACGAGGCCGAAGCAGUAGCACUUGCCCACUUCUCCCUAAUGAGACCUAUGUCCUUGGUCUGAGGACGUUUGACCCUCGGGGACAGCUUCCCCCUACCCUGCUCCUGCCCCUCGCUGGCCGCGGCUGCCCUGCUCCUUGUAAAGAUAAGCGGAGAAUAAACACGCUACUGCCGA